UUUAAAUAUAUCCCAGAAUUCAUAUCAAUUCUUCCUCUGGACCACAAUAGAUCCCUGAAAAGCCUUGAGCCUGUGUUGCCCUACCAAUAAGAGAAACAGAAGGUUUGGAAAUCCUUAAAUUGCUGGUGGUUUUACAGAAAUACAGAAAUACCCAGUUUUACAGAAAUAAAGAGCACAUUUAAAGAGAAAUCCAGUCCUCCCUAAUAGGCGGUAGCCACAGAAAGGUUGGGAUAAGAGCUAAGAGUACAGCUGUCAUUGAUUCAAAGUCAUUAUUCAAACUUCAUUAAAUGCUCCCUGUUUAUGUUUUCUGCUUGUUUCCCCUUGGCCAACAACUAUGCCGGUUCUUAUUUCAAAUCCCAUCAUCCAAAGGCUCAAAGGAAAGAGAGGUCAUAAAUGUGUUGCUGUUUGGCUUUAAUACAUGAAAAUUAGUGUGCAUCAGGGCCUACCCUUCCUGGUUGAGCUGGCCUUGGUGCCCUCUCCCCUGCCUUACAGCCUCCAAGGCAGAAAGAAUACUCAGGACCUCGCUUGCACAAGGGGGCUCCUGUCUUGGGCAGGGUGUUAACUUGAUCCCUGAUGUUUGAAAAAUAUUGACAGGUUGUUGACCUUUCACCCCUUCCUGCCUGAACUGCUAGGAAGUUCCUUACCCAAUCCAAAGGUAGGGAGUCUGCUCCAGCCUGAGAUAAGUGAACCCCCUUCUCUCAGUUAUGGUACAGUAAUUAGUUAUCUCUUCACAGAAAGGCAUCUCCACUCUUCCUGUCCCUUUCUGCAUUGUAUGGCUCUCUUCCCUGGGAAAGCAGAAAGCUCCCAGAGCCCUUGUGCAGUGGUACCUACAAUAUCACGAAGCUUUUUUUGCUGAAGUUGAAAACUAGUUGAGCUCAAGCACUUUUUAACUGUCCAUGAAUUCUGUUUCAAGUGACUUGCACCUUGGGCAGUUAGAUGAACCAGUUGGGUGGGGGAAUAGAUUGCUUUUUAAUAGAGGCUAAAAGUUUAGAUUGGCCUUCUUAUCUUGCUUUACCAGAUGUAUCUCAAAUUUACCUACAGAUUAGCUCAUAUGUUGUUUAUGUCUUAUUUUAACAUCCAGAUAAUAUCGCAGGAUUUUUAUGUUAGCUAAUAAAGACUUACGUUGUUUAUCUCUGAUUUUCUUAUGAAAACUAAAUAAUAUCAUGAUUAUGGUAGACAAGAUUUAGAGAUAAGAUAAGACCUGGCAUUUCUCUCUAAAUAUGCACUCCUGUGACAAGCAAAUCCGAUUUCUCUGCAUGGAAGUCUCAGAAGAAGAACAGGUGAGAUUUCUUGGUGGGUAACUUGGGCUUUUUGAUUAGCCCUAAAAGCAGUGAGACAACCAGCUGAAACCUGAUUUGCUUUUAAAACUAUUACUUGCUAAAAAGCAAUGCUAGGUACUUUGACACUUUUCACAUUUAUUUUCAGGGUACUUGUAGGAUGAACUUUUUCAUGCUUGUAUUUCUUUCUGUCCAGCUCAUUAAAGAAAACAACUUCUUAUCUCAAUAAAUGAUAAAAGUUU